AGAGUUUGAUCCUGGCUCAGGAUGAACGCUAGCUACAGGCUAACACAUGCAAGUCGAGGGGCAGCAUUGGAGUAGCAAUACUCAGAUGGCGACCGGCGCACGGGUGAGUAACACGUAUCCAACCUGCCGCUUACUCGGGGAUAGCCUUUCGAAAGAAAGAUUAAUACCCGAUGGUAUAAAGAGUUCGCAUGUUCUCUUUAUUAAAGAAUUUCGGUAAGCGAUGGGGAUGCGUUCCAUUAGAUAGUUGGCGGGGUAACGGCCCACCGAGUCUACGAUGGAUAGGGGUUCUGAGAGGAAGGUCCCCACAUUGGAACUGAGACACGGACCAGACUCCUACGGGAGGCAGCAGUGAGGAAUAUUGGUCAAUGGGCGAGAGCCUGAACCAGCCAAGUCGCGUGAAGGAAAGAAGGAUCUAUGGUUCGUAAACUUCUUUUGCAGGGGAAUAAAGUGCAGGACGUGUCCUGUUUUGUAUGUACCCUGAGAAUAAGGAUCGGCUAACUCCGUGCCAGCAGCAGC
rnacentral:rRNA from 1 species